ensembl:lncRNA
CAAACAUUUAAAUACAUUUAUUUCUUUUGUAAAUAUAUUUAUUUUUUGUACUGAGCCAGGAGCUUUGCAACAUACUAAAAUUAAAAUCUAUUAAAAUCAAUUCCGAAUUGUUAUUUUUGUGAUGCAGUUGCUGCCUUUGAAGAGUGCUUUAAACCAUAAUUUAUGUGGUUUCAUGACAGUUAGGAUGCUGUCUUAGAAGACUGCAGUAUUGCUUUUUCAAUAGUUUUAAAAUAACACCUGUUUAAAAAAAAACACCCAAUGAUUCAAAGCCAUGCAAAGAGUGAUGAGAAAUGCUGGUGCAUAAGAAAAAGAGAAGAUAAGAAGCUGAAUCUCAAGUAUCAAGAGCCAUUCUUAGACAUAAAUCAGCCACACACACUCUGUAUGAUGCCGUGCCAGCAACAGGAAAGGGAGAAAAAGCAGCGAAGCAGAAAACGUGUGGAUGAAUGUAUGCAAUUGAGAAUGAAGAUCUAUAUAGAGCAAUUGGACAAUGCAGAAGCACACAGUUCAAAAACCAUGCUAUUUCUUUCAUCACUGGGUAAGUCCCACCGACAGGCUAGUUUCAUUCGUGCCUGUAUAGAAAUCAGAUAUGAUAUGGUUGUGCAGUAUUCUUACCUUCCUUCAUAUUCUCUUCAUCACGCUCUCUAAUUUUCAGUUGAACUGUAGUAUCUAUUUUUAGCAUUUCUCAUGUGUCUACCCCACUCUCUCUCUCUUAUUCUCCAGCAGGAACGGAUGCGUGGCUCUAAUCACUUUGCUCCCCACACCUGACGGCACACUAUUAACUCUAGGUCUCUCUGGUGACCCUGCGGGUCGUUGCCCAUCACAUCAAGUUUUUAUUAGGGAAUUUUCCUCAUCAUUAGCUCUGGCCCAGACGCCGACCAUUAAUAUUCAUUCUGCUGCACACUUCCAUCAUCCUCUGUCCCUGUUUUACCACCAUCCAUCUGAAAUGCUGCUGCACACUCACCACCUAUCAUUAACAGAGCUCCAGCCAUCCGUUCAUAGCUGUUUGGGAAGACACACACAUACCUGUAAUCUAU